GACGAACGCUGGCGGCGUGCUUAACACAUGCAAGUCGAACGGAAAGGCCCUGCUUUUGUGGGGUGCUCGAGUGGCGAACGGGUGAGUAACACGUGAGUAACCUGCCCUUGACUUUGGGAUAACUUCAGGAAACUGGGGCUAAUACCGGAUAGGAGCUCCUGCUGCAUGGUGGGGGUUGGAAAGUUUCGGCGGUUGGGGAUGGACUCGCGGCUUAUCAGCUUGUUGGUGGGGUAGUGGCUUACCAAGGCUUUGACGGGUAGCCGGCCUGAGAGGGUGACCGGCCACAUUGGGACUGAGGUACGGCCCAGAGUCCUACGGGAGACAGCAGUGGGGAAUAUUGCACAAUGGGCGGAAGCCUGAUGCAGCAACGCCGCGUGCGGGAUGACGGCCUUCGGGUUGUAAACCGCUUUCGCCUGUGACGAAGCGUGAGUGACGGUAAUGGGUAAAGAAGCACCGGCUAACUACGUG
rnacentral:rRNA from 1 species